GCAGCAUUAGUGUAAUGGUAACACCUCACCCUUCCAAGGUGAUAUUGACGGUUCGAGUCCGUUAUGCUGCUCCA
rnacentral:tRNA from 1 species